rnacentral:rRNA from 1 species
GUGCCAGCAGCCGCGGUAAUACAGAGGGUGCGAGCGUUGUCCGGAAUCACUGGGCGUAAAGGGCGCGUAGGUGGCAGGCCAAGUCAGUGGUGAAAGCUCGAUGCUCAACAUCGAGUCGGCCACUGAUACUGGUUUGCUCGAGCACUGUAGAGGCAGAUGGAAUUCCGGGUGUAGCGGUGGAAUGCGUAGAGAUCCGGAAGAACACCGGUGGCGAAGGCGGUCUGCUGGGCAGUUGCUGACACUGAGGCGCGACAGCGUGGGGAGCAAACAGGAUUAGAUACCCUGGUAGUCC